rnacentral:rRNA from 1 species
AUUGAACGCUGGCGGCAGGCCUAACACAUGCAAGUCGAACGGUAACAGGAAGAAGCUUGCUUCUUUGCUGACGAGUGGCAGACGGGUGAGUAAUGUCUGGGAAACUGCCUGAUGGAGGGGGAUAACUACUGGAAACGGUAGCUAAUACCGCAUAACGUCGCAAGACCAAAGAGGGGGACCUUCGGGCCUCUUGCCAUCGGAUGGGCCCAGAUGGGAUUAGCUAGUUGGUGGGGUAACGGCUCACCAAGGCGACGAUCCCUAGCUGGUCUGAGAGGAUGACCAGCCACACUGGAACUGAGACACGGUCCAGACUCCUACGGGAGGCAGCAGUGGGGAAUAUUGCACAAUGGGCGCAAGCCUGAUGCAGCCAUGCCGCGUGUAUGAAGAAGGCCUUCGGGUUGUGAAGUACUUUCAGCGGGGAGGAAGGGAGUAAAGUUAAUACCUUUGCUCAUUGACGUUACCCGCAGAAGAAGCACCGGCUAACUCCGUGCCAGCCGCCGCGGUAA